AGAAGGCUUUUGAUGGAAACAGAGUCCUUGGAAAGGAAUGAUAUUGUUCCUUCCCCAAGCGCAGAUUUGAAAAUUCCUUUAGCCAAAGAGAAGACACAGACAAAAAACGGAAAGUAGUCGUGAGUGAAGAGUUUCGAUGCUGAGUCAUUCUGAAGUCCUUCAGACAUACCAGGCUCACCCGCAAGUCUUUGGAGUCCCUCAGCACGGUUACCUAGCUGGAUGAUGCACGUGGAUGUGGCUUGACUUCUCAAGAGGAGAUUCCUUCGCACUUGUUACUGUACCCCUAGCUAAAAGAAUGGAGCUAACAACCUUGCACUUGCUGGGCAGGCUCAGUGCCACUGAGCUAUAUUCCUGAUGCAAGACCUCAAUUUUCAUCCUUUGAAGACCAGAAGACUGAGCCAAUUUUCUCAAUUUUCUUGAGAAAGAAAUUGUAAUGGUUGAUACAUUGUGUCAAGUUGAGAAGCUUGGAAAUUUAACUAAGAGACUGAGCAGGGAGCCAGGAUCCUUACUGUGUAAACAUCCUCAGCCUGUGCAAGAGGAGGACAAGGAGUUUUUGUGAGUGCUACACCCACUCUGGAGUUGGGAUGGCCUGCGUAGAAUAUGAGGGAAGAAAGGAUGCUCACGCACCCCUUUCUGCUCUUGUUGCUUUGCUGACUUCUGCCACCUUGAAUGGUGCCCCUGUGCCAUGCCACACUGUGUUGGAGCUAGCUGAGUAUGGACUGAAACCUCUAUGAACUGUGAUCUAAAUAAACCUUUGUUUCCUUCAUUUUGGGUGUCAGGUAUUGUAUCCCAGCAAUGAAGAAAAGUAACCAAGACUGAAACUGAUACCAGAGAGGUGGGGACAGGGCUGUGACUGUACCAGACAAGAGGUUCAAGAGGCUUUGGGAAUGGCUUGUGGGAAGAGCUUGGAAGAGUUCCCAGAUGUCGCCUGUAGAAGUAGCACUGGAAUGCCUGAGGCUGUUCUGCACGGGAGACUAUGGUCAGAGCUCAGAAGACUAGAAGGCCAAUAGAAAUCCUUCUUGUAAAGAUCAGGCACAGGAGCUUUCUGCUGGGAAGGACUGCAUUGGUUAUGGACUCCAGACAAUGUGUGUUACGGCUUAGUAGAAAGUUUGCAUUUUGCUCUUGCCCAGAGACUUUGCCUGAGACUAAGAUUAUAGGGGACAAAUAAUCUAGCAGAAGAAAUUUCAAGGCAGUCAAAUGUUGAGGCAUGGCUACUGUUGGGGGGCUUUUAGCCAGAUUCAUGUUCUGAAUCAAGAACAAAGAGCCCAGCAGGAUAAUUUAAAACAUGGUGAGUUUGGCCAGAAAGAAAGCUCCAAUAAAGCUGUGAACUGCAAAAGAAGAGCCGAGAAAAUCUUGAUUGUUGAGAAAGACCAGUAGAACAUUAAAGAUGGUCUGAAGGCAUCACAAAAAGUGGCAAGUCUUGAACCUGUGCAGCCUCAAAACUACAAAAGUGAACUAUGUUGCUUUGAGGUGAAAGCCACAGAACACAAUGUUCCAGAAUGUCAGUGGCCAUGCCGUGCUCCAGAAUGGCAACAGAAUAGAAAAUUCAUUCCUCAGAACUGGAUUCAGAGUGCCCAGUGAUCCUUGCACCCAAUCCCUACAGCCAAGAGAGAGGAAAGCCUGGCUACGGCUCCAACUAGCAACAGACCUCAGCAUCAUCCAUGUAGUGCUGGUUUUAGGUGCAUACAGAAUGCAAGAGUUCUGAGGUUAAAAAGGCUUCCACCCCUGAGAGAAUAUUGUGUGAAGUUGUGAGUGUGAAGUCACCAGACACCAGUGGAGACACCAGAAGUUUGGAAAAUCCAGGAACAUGAAUCAGCUAAGGAAAUCUGUAAGAAAGGAGCAAAGCCAUCCUAAGGGAGAAGCCAUGAGAGCUAUAACCACCAGAAGUGCCAUAGAGGUGGAGUCACCCAAGCCCUUUGGAGAUUGCAGUUUGCCAUAAAUUGCCUCAAAUGAUGUACAUGGAGUUACAGGACUUAAUGUUUACCCUGCUGGAUUUUGGAAUUGCUUUGGUCCCCUUCCUUUGUAUCCCCAUUUAUACCCUUUGGAAUGGUAAUGUUUAUCUUGUGCCACUGAACAUUGGAAGUGCUUAACUUUGUUUUCUUUUAUAGAGGGUCUUGCAGCUAAGAGUUUGUCUUACAUCUCAGAAGAGACUUGGGUCAUAAACUUUUCAGCGAUACUGAAACUGCUAGGAUGUUGGCAACUCUUACAGGUAGACUAAAUACCUUUUUCAUAAAGGGAUGUACAUGAGUCUUUCAGGGGGGUAACCAAAGGAAGAAUGUUAAGAUUCUAAUGUAAUAUAAUGUCGAUAGACUUAAUGCUGGUUCUUAAAGAUUGUUAAACCUGUAUUCCUGUAUUAUAAUGUUCAAGUUGUGAAAUGGUAAGAAUAAGCAUGUCUUUGUAUAUGGAGGUUGGUUUAAAGAAAUAUGUCUGGUUGCCAAGUUGACAAAAGGUGGAUUUUUAUGGCUGAUACAUUGUGUCAACUUGAGAAGUUUAGAAUUUUAACUAAAAGAUUCAUCCCGGAGCAGGGAUCCUUGCUUUGUAAACAUCCUCAUCUUAAGCAAGAGGAGGGCAAGGAAAUUUUGUGAGUGCUACACCCACCCUGGUUGAGGGAUGUCCUCUGUUGAAUGUAAGGGAGGAAAAGCCGUGCCCCUUUUGCUCUGUUGCUUUGCUCUCUUCUGCCCUGGAAGUGUUGCCUCUGUGCCAUGCCACUCUGCCUUGGAACCAGCUGAUUAUAGACUGAAACCUCCACAAACUGCAAGCUAAAUAAACCUUUUCUUCCUUCA